rnacentral:rRNA from 1 species
CUUGCCAGAGAUGGCUUGGUGCCCGAAAGGGAAUCGGAACACAGGUGCUGCAUGGCUGUCGUCAGCUCGUGUCGUGAGAUGUUGGGUUAAGUCCCGCAACGAGCGCAACCCUUAUCAUUAGUUGCUACGCAAGGGCACUCUAAUGAGACUGCCGGUGACAACCGGAGGAAGGUGGGGAUGACGUCAAGUCCUCAUGGCCCUUAUGGGUAGGGCUUCACACGUCAUACAAUGGUCGGUACAGGAGGGUUGCCAAGCCGCGAGGCGGAGCCAACUCCCAACAAAGCCGAUCGUAGUCCGGAUUGUUCUCUGCAACUCGAGAGCAUGAAGUCGGAAUCGCUAGUAAUCGCAGGUCAGCAUACUGCGGUGAAUACGUUCCCGGGUCUU